ensembl:snRNA U6 U6 spliceosomal RNA
GUACUCACUUCAGCAGCACUUAUACUAAAAUUGGAACAAUACAGAGAAGAUUAUCAUGGCCCCUGGGCAGGCAUGACACACAAAUUCAUGGAACAGUCCAUGCUUUU